UGCUGCUUUUCUUACUCUUGCCCUCCCCUGCUGUCCCUUCCUGCUCACAGCUGACAGAUGACUCCCUGAUCUUCUUGGGCAAGGGGGAGGGGCUGAGAGGCAGUCCUCACCCCCACACACCCUUGUGGGCUGCCUGUGGGUGAAGGGUUGCAGAGCAGCCUGGCACCUGGCCCUGGUGUUGAAGGAGUGGGCUUUGUGCUCCAGAUGCUUCUCUGGCUCUCAGCUCUCCCUUAGCCACGUCGUGAAUGCUGACAAGGCUGGGGUGGCAAAGCUCAGGCAGGCUGCUUCCAUCUUUAAAAAACGUGGCAUUUACUUUUGUUUCUGAAACAUUGGGGCUGGGGAACUUCCCCCCGACCUCCACCCCAUGCUGCCCCUCCGCUCCUUCCCUGAGCCUCUCGGGUGGUAAAAUAAUAAAGAGCCCAAUAUAUUUUCAAUACCUGACCAAGCAGGGUAGCUCCAGGAGUGGGUGGCCUGGAAGAUUAGGGGAAUGGCCUCCUCUCAGCCUCCUGCCUCCACUCACACACGCACUUUACUACCCGCUCAUUCCUGGCCUCUUUCUGUCUCUCUCGUCUUCCUUUUUCUCAGGGUAAGGGCAGUGCCUGCUGUGCCUGUUAGCCACUCCUCCUCCCCCCUCUCCCACCCAGGAGCCUGAGAAUUCUGUGCCGGAAGCCCAGGCCAGCACGGUGAGGCAUGGAACAGGUUGUCAAAGAUGCCAGAACUAGAGGUCAGAGCCUUUGAGGGAGAUGAAAUGUACCAGGGGGCUGUCCUGAGCCUCAGAAGAGGCCGUUUCCAGAAGAGAGCCUGCCAGCAGUCACGGGCUCUGGGCCUAUCUGGAUGGUGGGUCCCUCAUGACCCAGCCGCCUCCCUAUGCGUGGGCUCUCCUUCCCCGCAGGGGUGCCCUUGUCUUCCUCCAAAAAAGAAACCAGGGCACAUGGUGUGGGAUUUGGAGCCUGCUGAGCCUGCUGAUUUAUUCCCAGUCAUCCAAAACCUGAAUUCUAGCCGAGUUUUUUCUUUUAAUGAGAGAUCUUACUCCUUUUUUAUAGCAUACUCUGGCAUUUUCCCUCCCCUAAGAGAUUGCACUUUUUGUUUUGGGAUUAUUCAGCCCCAUAGGUUAACUGGCUCAGGCCUUGGAAAAAUGAAGAGCCUUCCUUCUGCAGUGCUCUUCCAGCCAGCCGCCAUCAACCCUGUCCUGGGGGCACAGACCCAGACUUGUGUGCCAGCAGGAAGGAAAGAAGGGCAAAUGGGAGCCUCCCGUUUUGGCCCCACCUCUCCUCUUCACUUCCUCCCCUCACUCCCUUGUCACUGACAUGGAGGAGGCCCACUUCUGGGUCUGUGGGUGCAGGAACCAGGCUUCAUCCUGCUGGCAUCCAUGACAGCUGUUCGUUCUCUUUGCCUGGAGCAGUUCUUGCCAUCAACCAUUUGCUACUGUCCAGGAGCUUCUGGGUUUUUGUCCCUUGCAAGGGAUUAGGGACUUUAUAGCUGCCAGGAAGGAGGCUGUCAGAGGAGCCUGGAGCAGGUGGGAGAACUGUCCGUAGCCUGGCUUUUCUGGGCUCACCUCUAGGGGAGUCCCAGAGGGCUUCUCCAGGAGAGUGGUCAGCACCAAAGGACUUUAUUUGAAAAGGUAUUUUUUGCACACAUGAGCUAAUAACUCAAUGCAGGUUUCAUGUCCUGGCAACUUGCAGUUACAUUCCAGUGACUUACAAGGGCCAGUCUUUGGUGAAGAUCACAUAUAUUUCCAUCCCUUUCCAUGCCUUAGUUUAGCAAGUAGGCUCUAUCUUUUGCCAUUUCUGGAUUUUGUGUGCUGUGUUCCCAUUUCACUCAGCGUGAACUGUGAAAUGGGCUGAGUCCUGGCCAAUUGUGAGUUCUUUUGGGUUAUAAGGCAUUUCAGUGUGUGUUGUAACACUCCAUUUGCAAAUAAAACUGGAACUAAUGUUAUCUUCCCCAUUCAUCUUGCCUUCCACCCCCCACCUCCCCCAAGUUCUGUGGAAUGGCAAGACUGACAAAGGUAUCUUCUUCCUGCCUCAUUCGUUAGUGGUGGCACAGGGACGAUAGCACUCAGCCUCUCCCUCCCAGUCUCAGCUGAGCGCUCAGACCACUUGCUUACCCCGUAACAAUGCCACUUCCAUUCCCAGAUUACAUGCUUACAUCAAGAGCAGAAUAUGCUGCAAACAUUUCUACAUCCUUGCUUUCCUCCCCUCCCCACCCCCCCAAGAGAAUAAAGGACCAGAAGGGAAGUGGUAUGCAGGCUUUCCAGCUGAACCCCAGAUGUGCUGGCUGGGAGCUUCUCUCAGGGCCUCCUGGGGCUCAGCAUAGGGACAGACAUUACUGAUGAUCAGUGAAGAGCUCAGAGGGACUUUGCUUGGCAGGCUCAGCUUUGCUGGAAAACUCGUAAUCUCCAGUUGAAAACCUAGUAGAAUUUUGAAUGAAACCUCAAAGUUAAACCCUGCGCCAGGCAGCAGAGCUCUCUGGAGAGGGUGCAGAGGCAGAGCACUUGGAUUGCCAAGCAGGGGGGAGAGAUAGAUGAGGAUUGUGUGGCCGCCCACCACACCCUGCCCUGGCUUAUCACACCACUAUGGAACCUUGCAGAAUGGUACUCACAUAAUGGUUUAAAACAACACUUGCAUCAUUGACUAUGUGCAGGAUGUCAGUCAGUUUGGGUUUGCUUUAUUUUAUAUAUAUUUUUUGGUAUCCUGUACAUUGCAGUGGGUGUGAAGAUAGUAUUUUAAUAUUUGUACAAAGUUUAAUUUAAUUUUAAUUCUAUGUAUAUAACUGCAUUUCUAAAUAAUAAAAAAAGUUCUUAUGAGGCAGUUGUGAGAGAUGUGAUCCUUCCGUAAAAUUUUUAUAGAAACCCUAGGUUGAAAAGAUUGUGUGUGGGUAGGAGCUCGUGAAGGGAUGAAGGACCAGCUCUGGGGAGAGGUGCCUUUCAGGAGAUGGAGAUAGGACAGGGAGGUGGUCCAUGCCACAAGGAAGAGAGACCACAAACAUAAGUGGGAAUACAUUUUUCUCUUUAGAAACGCGCUCAGUGUGCCAGCUACCGUUUUCAUGCUGGGAUUGAGCAGUGAGCAAGACCUGCAUGGAUUUCUAAUGUGCUGGGAAGGCAGGCAGUUACAACGGUGCCUGAUGACAGUGUGAUCGGGGAAGCGUAAGGGAGCGUAGGCAACGCUCUUUUUGGACAAACUGUCAUUUAAGCUGAGAUGUGAGGGCCGGUACAGCGAGGCUAAGGGGCAAAACACUACGUGUGUGGGUGCAGAGGCAGCAGAAAGCACAGCCAGUGUGAGAAACUAAAAGGACUCUAGUGCUGCUGCACGGCAGGCUGAGGGAGAGGGCAGAGGCUAGGUGGUGGAGGCAGGGCUUCUCCAGCCACCUGGGAAGCUUCCCUUUAUCCUAAGGGCAAGGGGCAGUGCUGACAGGUUUAAGGAGCGGAUUGACUCACUAAGCUCUGCAUGUGGGGGGAGUGGGGAAGCUCUCUCCAGGUCUUAAGAAGAGAGCCUUCAGGGGAUGCAGCAUCCCGUACCUGGAGACCAUGGAAGAAUUGUAGGUCUGUGGGGGAAGAAGCAAUCCUCUGAGAUGGAGAGAUGGAAGACCCCUGUGGGAGAGGAGAUGUUGGAGAUCUAAAAAGUGAAGAGGCGGAGCACGCAGAGGUGAAGAGGUCAUUGCCAGGUAGGCAGGCUGACAGCAAGGAGCCCUCCUGGCAGGUGGUAAGGGUGUGAGUGGAGGGAGGCACUGGGCACUUCGCUGUGCUGACACGAGCUCUGGGUGUCAUGGUCAGGGUGACUGGUUUUCCUACCUCACAGUGUUGGGUGGGAAAACAGUUUAGUCUUAAUCUCAGUGGCACCAGUCCUCAGGAGGCUCCACACAAACAUAAUUGCCGUCGUUGCAAAGAAGGUGAAGGGAAGAGCAGUUUAAUAGCUGGUACUUAAAAACCACUUACAUGUGCCAGGCACAGUUGGAAGCCUAUAGUGUGGAAUCCACACAGCAACUAACAAGGCAGGCGCCGUUAUCACCUGCAGCCCCAGGCCACCUAAAAGCCAGGCACGAAGACCUGCAUUAACUUGCCCAAGGUGGAGCCAGGAUUUAAUUCAAGCCCAGGUAGUUCUAAAAUGACUCCCACCCCUACCCCAUCAGACGCAGCCUGCCUCUCAAAGGCCUCACCGCCUCCUUUCUGCCUUUACAGACUGUUCUAACCAACGAGCUUCAGGUAGAAAAUGGGCAGAAACAGGUCCCAUCAGGUAAGGAAUGCUGGGGAAGGGAGACGUGUCAACAUGGGGUCACCGCUGGGAUUGUUGCCUUUUGAUGGCAGGUGGUGGGUGGGGACAACGAUAACAAAGCCCACAGAACCUGCAGGGCUGCUGGGGAAGGGCUGUCUGCGAAGUGGUUGCUUCGCAUUGAGAAAGGUGGAUGGGAGGAGA